GUAGGUGGCAAGCGUUGUCCGGAAUUAUUGGGCGUAAAGCGCGCGCAGGCGGGUCCUUUAAGUCUGAUGUGAAAGCCCACGGGCUCAACCGUGGAGGGUCAUUGGAAACUGGGGGACUUGAGUACAGAAGAGGAAAGCGGAAUUCCAAGUGUAGCGGUGAAAUGCGUAGAGAUUUGGAGGAACACCAGUGGCGAAGGCGGCUUUCUGGUCUGUAACUGACGCUGAGGCGCGAAAGCGUGGGGAGCAAACAGGAUUAGAUACCCUGGUAGUCCACGCCGUAAACGAUGAGUGCUAAGUGUUAGGGGGUUUCCGCCCCUUAGUGCUGCAGCUAACGCAUUAGGCACUCCGCCUGGGGAGUACGGCCGCAAAGGCUG
rnacentral:rRNA from 1 species